UGCCGGAAUAGCUCAGUUGGUAGAGCAGAGGACUGAUAAA
rnacentral:tRNA from 1 species